rnacentral:rRNA from 1 species
UACGUAGGGGGCUAGCGUUGCUCGGAAUCACUGGGCGUAAAGGGAGUGUAGGCGGAGAUGCAAGUCAGGAGUUUAAUCUACGGGCUUAACCCGUAGUUGGCUCUUGAGACUGCACCUCUUGAGUAGUGGAGAGGGAGACGGAAUUCCAGGUGUAGCGGUGGAAUGCGUAGAUAUCUGGAAGAACACCAGUAGCGAAGGCGGUCUCCUGGCCACAUACUGACGCUGAGGCUCGAAAGCGUGGGGAGCAAACAGG